rnacentral:hammerhead_ribozyme from 1 species
AUGCAGCUGACGAGUCCCAAGUAGGGUGAACGCGCGUCCUGGAU